AUGGGCUGUACACAGGAAGUGAGAGAUAGCAUGAAGAAUAUUCUUAAUGUCCAAAAUGAGAGCUUGUCUGAAAAAUACCUUUGUAUGCCCACAGAUGUUGGUAGCAGCAAUAAUAGGGCGUUCAAAUACCUGAAGGAACAUGUGUGGAACAAAUUCAAAGGAUGGAUGGAGAAAAUAUUGUCUUCGGGUGGGAAGGAAGUGCUCAUCAAAUCCGUGGCACAAGUUGUUCCUAUUUUCUCGAUGGCCUGUUUCAAGCUCCCUAGAGGCCUCUGUCUUCAUAUCAACUCCAUCAUUCACAAGUUUUGGUGGGGGAGUAAACGGGGCGAGAGAAAGACUAUUUGGGUCUCGUGGGAGGUUAUGACCAGGCCGAAAUAUGAAAGAGGCUUGGGAUUCCAAGAUAUAGAGCUCUUCAAUCUUGCUCUCUUGGCGAUACAAGCGUGGCGUAUUCUGCAAUCACCAAAUACUCUAAGUGCAAAGCUACUGAAAGCUCGUUACUUUCCUGUGACUGGUUUUUUGGAUGCGGAACUAGGCAACAAUCCAUCGCAGAUUUGGAGGGCCAUCAUGGAAGGAAAUGAAGUGCUAAAGUUGGGCUUGAUUAGGCACAUUGGAGACGGAAAUACUACUCACAUAUGGGAACAGAACUGGCUCCCAAAGGAAGCAUCGAUGAGGCCUAUUGUUGGCUUAACUCCACAACGGCCAGAAUGUGUGUCCGAGCUUAUCAACGUCACUUCAGCGAGCUGGAGACAGGAUCUGGUCAAUUCAAAUUUUCUUCCUAUUGAUGCAGAGGUAAUCUUAAACAUUCUGUUGAGCAUGUUAGCAGUAAUCGUGACUUGGAGUUUGUUUUUCGAUUAG
rnacentral:rRNA from 1 species